ensembl:lncRNA
CUGAUGGUGCAAAGACAGCCUGUGGCCAGGAGAAGCGGGGCAAGGGUCUCCAAGGAGUGCACAGGCCAGGAGCGCGCGCGGGGCUGGGGCACGUGCUUUCCCCAGUUUCCAGAUCCACCUCAAAUUGUUAAUGAAACUCCCAGUUGCCCUCCAAGCUUUAUCGCCUCUGGAAGAGGGAGGCCUGAUUUGAAUUACUUCAACUGGAAUUCCAUCACCUCCACUAGCUUUGUUCGUAGUGAUGCUUCCUAAGGCCCACUUGACUUCACGUUCCGGUUCUAGAGUACAUCAUGAGAAACGCUGGGCUGGAAAAAGCACAAGCUGGAAUCAAGAUUGCCAGCAGAAAUAUCAAUAACCUCAGAUAUGCAGAUGACAUCACCUUUAUGGCAGAAAGUGAAGAGGAACUAAAAAGCCUCUUGAUGAAAGUGAAAGUGGAGAGUGAAAAAGUUGGCUUAAAGCUCAACAUUCAGAAAACUAAGAUCAUGGCAUCUGGUCCCAUCACUUCAUGGGAAAUAGAUGGGGAAGCAGUGG